CGGACGGGUGAGUAAUGUCUGGGAAACUGCCUGAUGGAGGGGGAUAACUACUGGAAACGGUAGCUAAUACCGCAUAACGUCGCAAGACCAAAGAGGGGGACCUUAGGGCCUCUUGCUAUCGGAUGUGCCCAGAUGGGAUUAGCUAGUAGGUGGGGUAACGGCUCACCUAGGCGACGAUCCCUAGCUGGUCUGAGAGGAUGACCAGCCACACUGGAACUGAGACACGGUCCAG
rnacentral:rRNA from 1 species